rnacentral:rRNA from 1 species
UACAGAGGGUGCGAGCGUUAAUCGGAAUUACUGGGCGUAAAGCGCACGUAGUCGGCUUUGCAAGUCGGUUGUGAAAUCCCCGGGCUCAACCUGGGAACUGCAUCCGAGACUGCAUUGCUAGAGUAUGGGAGAGGGAAGCGGAAUUUCUGGUGUAGCAGUGAAAUGCGUAGAUAUCAGGAGGAAUACCGAUGGCGAAGGCAGGUCUCUGGGCUGACACUGACGCUCAUGCACGAAAGCGUGGGGAGCAAACAGG